UGGGGAAUUUUGCACAAUGGGGGAAACCCUGAUGCAGCGACGCCGCGUGAUUUAGAAGGCCUUCGGGUUGUAAAAAUCUUUUCUAUGGGAAGAAAAUGACAGUACCAUAGGAAUAAGGACCGGCUAAUUACGUGCCAGCAGCCGCGGUAAUACGUAAGGUCCGAGCGUUGUCCGGAAUCAUUGGGCGUAAAGGGUACGUAGGCGGGUAAGCAAGUUAUAAGUGAAAUCCUGUAGCUCAACUACAGUAAGCUUUUAAAACUACUCAUCUUGAGAUAUGGAAGGGAAAGUAGAAUUCCUAGUGUAGCGGUGAAAUGCGCAGAUAUUAGGAGGAAUACCGGUGGCGAAGGCGACUUUCUGGCCAUAAUCUGACGCUGGGGUACGAAAGCGUGGGUAGCAAACAGG
rnacentral:rRNA from 1 species